GACGAACGCUGGCGGCGUGCUUAACACAUGCAAGUCGAACGGAAAGGCCCUGCUUUUGUGGGGUGCUCGAGUGGCGAACGGGUGAGUAACACGUGAGUAACCUGCCCUUGACUUUGGGAUAACUUCAGGAAACUGGGGCUAAUACCGGAUAGGAGCUCCUGCUGCAUGGUGGGGGUUGGAAAGUUUCGGCGGUUGUGGAUGGACUCGCGGCUUAUCAGCUUGUUGGUGGGGUAGUGGCUUACCAAGGCUUUGACGGGUAGCCGGCCUGAGAGGGUGGCCGGCCACAUUGGGACUGAGAGACGGACCAGACUGCUACGGGAGGCAGCAGUGGGGAAUAUUGCACAAUGGGCGGAAGCGUGAUGCAGCAACGCUGCGUGCGGGAUGACGGCCUUCGGGUUGUAAACCGCUGUCGCCUGUGACGAAGCGUGAGUGACGGUAAUGGGUAAAGAAGCACCGGCUAACUACGUG
rnacentral:rRNA from 1 species